rnacentral:rRNA from 1 species
UUUGUUAAUUAAAAUUAUAGAUUAAGUGUAUAAAGUUGUAUUGUAUAACAUUAAAUAAUUAAUUUGAAUAAAAGAGAAGGUAACGUAGGUGAGGGGUAUUAAGAUAGGUAAAAGGAAAUUUAAAUUAUUGUACCUUUUGUAUCAGGGAUUGUUAAAUUAAAGAUUUUAGAUAAAAAUUUUUUUGAAAUUAAAAGAGCGAAUAGAUUAUUUUAGUUAAUGUAGAAAUAUUAUUAAAAAUAAUUUAUUAGAGAAUAUAUUUUAGUCAAUUUUAAUGAUAUCAAGUUUUUUUUUAAUUAAAUUUAAUUUAUAAUUAAUUAUUUAUAUUAUUUAUUUAAUAAGAAUUAUUUUAGGGUAAGUAAAGUUAGUAUAAUAAAUUAAUUAAGUAAAUUAUGGGAUAAACUGUAAUUUAAAUUUUAAAAAGUUUAGAGAUAUAAUAUGGGAAUUAUAAUAAUAUUAGUAAUAAUUUAAUUUUAUGGAAAAAAUUUAAUAAUUUAUAUUAGCAUAAUAGAAAAAUGUAUAAUUUAAAUUAAGAUUUAAUAGAUUGGUUUUAAUAAUUUAAAAGAAUGUUUAUUUUAAUUAUUUAUAUGAAGUAAUAAUGAUAAUAUUAGUAGAAUAGGAUCGUAUAGAGGUUUGUAUGUAUUAAAAUGGGCGGAAAAUUUAUGAUAAGGAAUUAGGCAAAAUUUUUAAAUUCACUUGUUUAAUAAAAACAUGGUUUUUUGAUAAUAAUUUAAGAUUGGUCCUGCUCAAUGAAAAAUAUUUUUUUAAAUAGCUGCAGUAAUAUGACUGUACUAAGGUAGCAUAAUCAAUUGUUUUUUAAAUGAAAACUGGGAUGAAGGGAUUGAUGAAAUUUAAACUUUUUAAUUAUAAAUUUUUGAAUUUAUUAAUUAAGUAAGAAUACUUAGAUGGGAUUAUGGGACGAGAAGACCCUAUAGAAUUUUAUAUAUAAUUUUAUAAGCAUAUUUUUUUGAUAAUAUAGAAUUAUAUAUUUUGUUGGGAGGAUGGUUAAAUAUAGAAAACUUUAAUUAAAAUUUUAAAUAUAAAUUAAUAAAUUUUAGAGUGGUUAAUAAAUUAGUAAAGAAUUAAUUACCUUAGGGAUAACAGCGUAAUAUUUUUAGAGAGUUCAUAUUAAUAAAAGUGUUUGCGACCUCGAUGUUGAAUUAAGAUAAAAAUUAAGUGGAGAAGCUUAAUAUUUAAGUCUGUUCGACUUUUAAAAUCUUACAUGAUUUGAGUUUAAAUCGGCGUGAGCCAGAUUGGUUUCUAUCUAUAAUAAGUAUUUGGAUAUUUGUACGAAAGGACUGUAUUCAGAAAUUAAAUUUUAGUGGGUAAGGUUUAGUUAUA